GUAUGUCUAAUGUUGUCUUUUCUUUUUUUCUAGCAGGGUCGACGCAGAUUGAGGUAUUCCAGGUAUGUUUUCUGUUAAGACCUUUGUGUAUGUCUAAUUUUUUUCCUUUAGGUCGUGUGGCUUUCUUUUUUUUUGCAGGGCCCGACGCAGAUUAAGGAUUUUCAGGUAUGUUUUCUGUUAAGACCUUUGUGUAUGUCUAAUGUUGUCUUUUCUUUUUUUCUAGCAGGGCGCGACGCAGAUUGCAGAUUCGCAGGUAUGUUUUCUGUUAAGGCCUUUGAGUAUGUCUAAUGUCACCUUUUCUUUUUUUUCUCAGCAGGGCGCGACGCAGAUUGAGGAAUUCAGGUAUGUUUUCUGUUAAGACCUUUGUGUAUGUCUAAUGUCGCCUUUUCUUUUUUUCUAGCAGGGGGCGACGCAGAUUGAGGAUUUUCAGGUAUGUUUUCUGUUAAGACCUUUGUGUAUGUCUAAUUUCGCCUUUUCUUUUUUUCUAGCAGGGUGCGACGCAGAUUGAGGAUUCCCAGGUAUGUUUUCCGUUAAGACCUUUGUGUAUGUCUAAUUUCGCCUUUUCUUUUUUUCUAGCAGGGCGCGACGCAGAUUGAGGAUUCCCAGGUAUGUUUUCUGUUAAGACCUUUGUGUAUGUCUAAUGUCGCCUUUUCUUUUUUUUCUAGCAGGUCGCGACGCAGAUUGAGGAAUUCCAGGUAUGUUUUCUGUUAAGACCUUUGUGUAUGUCUAAUGUUGUCUUUUUCUUUUUUUUCUAGCAGGGCGCGACGCAGAUUGAGAGAUUCCAGGUAUGUUUUCUGUUAAGACCUUUGUGUAUGUCUAAUGUCGCCUUUUCUUUUUUUCUAGCAGGUCGCGACGCAGAUUGAGGAAUUCCAGGUAUGUUUUCUGUUAAGACCUUUGUGUAUGUCUAAUGUUGCUUUUCUUUUUUUCUAGCAGGUCUUGACGCAGAUUGGAAAUUCCUUUAGGUCGUGUGGCCUUUUUUUUUUUUUUAGCAGGGCGCGACGCAGAUUGAGGAUUUUCAGGUAUGUUUUCUGUUAAGGCCUUUGAGUAUGUCUAAUGUCACCUUUUCUUUUUUUUUCCAGCAGGGCGCGACGCAGAUUGAAGAUUCGCAGGUAUGUUUUCUGUUAAGGCCUUUGUGUAUGUCUAAUGUCGCCUUUUCUUUUUUUCUAGCAGGGCGCGACGCAGAUUGAGGAAUUCAGGUAUGUUUUCUGUUAAGACCUUUGUGUGUAUGUCUAAUGUCGCCUUUUCUUUUUUUCUAGCAGGGCGCGACGCAGAUUGAGGAAUUCAGGUAUGUUUUCUGUUAAGACCUUUGUGUAUGUCUAAUGUUGCCUUUUCUUUUUUUCUAGCAGGGCGCGACGCAGAUUGAGGAAUUCCAGGUAUGUUUUCUGUUAAGACCUUUGUGUAUGUCUAAUUUCGCCUUUUCUUUUUUUCUAGCAGGGCGUGACGCAGAUUGAGGAUUUUCAGGUAUGUUUUCUGUUAAGACCUUUGUGUAUGUCUAAUGUUGCCUUUUCUUUUUUUCUAGCAGGGCGCGACACAGAUUGAGGAUUUAGGUAUGUUUUCUGUUAAGACCUUUGUGUAUGUCUAAUGGUUCCUUUUUUUUUCCUUUAGGUCGUGUGGACUUUUUUUUUUGCAGGGCGCGACGCAGAUUGAGGAUUUUCAGGUAUGUUUUCUGUUAAGACCUUUGUGUAUGUCUAAUGUUGUCCUUUUCUUUUUUUCUAGCAGGGCGCGACGCAGAUUGAGGAUUCCAGGUAUGUUUUCUGUUAAGGCCUUUGAGUAUGUCUAAUGUCACCUUUUCUUUUUUUUUCCAGCAGGACGCGACGCAGAUUGAAGAUUCGAAGGUAUGUUUUCUGUUAAGACCUUUGUGUAUGUCUAAUGUUGCCUUUUCUUUUUUUCUAGCAGGGCGCGACGCAGAUUGAGGAUUUUCAGGUAUGUUUUCUGUUAAGACCUUUGUGUAUGUCUAAUGUUGCCUUUUCUUUUUUUCUAGCAGGGCGCGACGCAGAUUGAGGAAUUCCAGGUAUGUUUUCUGUUAAGACCUUUGUGUAUGUCUAAUGUCGCCUUUUCUUUUUUUCUAGCAGGUCGCGACGCAGAUUGAGGAAUUCCAGGUAUGUUUUCUGUUAAGACCUUUGUGUAUGUCUAAUGUCGCCUUUUCUUUUUUUCUAGCAGGUCUUGACGCAGAUUGCCUUUAGGUCGUGUGGCCUUUUUUUUUUUUUAGCAGGGCGCGACGCAGAUUGAGGAUUUCCAGGUAUGUUUUCUGUUAAGACCUUUGUGUAUGUCUAAUGUUGUCUUUUCUUUUUUUUCCCAGCAGAGCGCGACGCAGAUUGAAGAUUCGCAGGUAUGUUUUCUGUUAAGACCUUUGUGUAUGUCUAAUGUCGCCUUUUCUUUUUUUCUAGCAGGGCGCGACGCAGAUUGAGGAAUUCCAGGUAUGUUUUCUGUUAAGACCUUUGUGUAUGUCUAAUUUCGCCUUUUCUUUUUUUCUAGCAGGGGCGACGCAGAUUGAGGAUUCCAGGUAUGUUUUCUGUUAAGACCUUUGUGUAUGUCUAAUUUCGCCUUUUCUUUUUUUCUAGCAGGGCGCGACGCAGAUUGAGGAUUCGCAGGUAUGUUUUCUGUUAAGACCUUUGUGUAUGUCUAAUGUUGCCUUUUCUUUUUUUCUAGCAGGUCGCGACGCAGAUUGAGGAAUUCCAGGUAUGUUUUCUGUUAAGACCUUUGUGUAUGUCUAAUGUUGUCUUUUCUUUUUUUCUAGCAGGGUGCGACGCAGAUUGAGGAUUCCAGGUAUGUUUUCUGUUAAGACCUUUGUGUAUGUCUAAUGUUUCUUUUUUUUUCCUUUAGGUCGUGUGGCCUUUCUUUUUUUUAUGACGCAGAUUGAGGAUUUUCAGGUAUGUUUUCUGUUAAGACCUUUGUGUAUGUCUAAUGUUGUCUUUUCUUUUUUUCUAGCAGGGCGCGACGCAGAUUGAGGAUUCCCAGGUAUGUUUUCUGUUAAGACCUUUGUGUAUGUCUAAUUGCGCCUUUUCUUUUUUUUCUAGCAGGGCGCGACGCAGAUUGAGGAUUCCAGGUAUGUUUUCUGUUAAGACCUUUGUGUAUGUCUAAUGUUGUCUUUUCUUUUUUUCUAGCAGGGCGCGACGCAGAUUGGAGAUUCAAGGUAUGUUUUCUGUUAAGGCCUUUGUGUAUGUCUAAUGUCGACUUUUCUUUUUUUCUAGCAGGGCGCGAUGCAGAUUGAGGAUUUUCAGGUAUGUUUUCUGUUAAGACCUUUGUGUAUGUCUAAUUUCGCCUUUUCUUUUUUUCUAGCAGGUCUUGACGCAGAUUGGAAAUUCCUUUAGGUCAUGUGGCCUUUUUUUUUUUUUUAGCAGGGCGCGACGCAGAUUGAGGAUUUUCAGGUAUGUUUUCUGUUAAGACCUUUGUGUAUGUCUAAUGUUGUCUUUUCUUUUUUUUCUGCAGGGCGCGACGCAGAUUGCAGGAUUCGCAGGUAGUAUGUUUUCUGUUAAGACCUUUGUGUAUGUCUAAUGUCGCCUUUUCUUUUUUUCUAGCAGGUCGCGACGCAGAUUGAGGAAUUCCAGGUAUGUUUUCUGUUUAAGACCUUUGUGUAUGUCUAAUGUUGUCUUUUCUUUUUUUCUAGCAGGGUGCGACGCAGAUUGAGGUAUUCCAGGUAUGUUUUCUGUUAAGACCUUUGUGUAUGUCUAAUGGUUCCUUUUUUUUCCUUUAGUCUGUGGGCUUUUCUUUUUUUUUGGCAGGGCGCGACGCAGAUUGAGGAUUUUCAGGUAUGUUUUCUGUUAAGACCUUUGUGUAUGUCUAAUGUUGUCUUUUCUUUUUUUUCUAGCAGGGCGCGACGCAGAUUGAGGAUUCGCAGGUAUGUUUUCUGUUAAGACCUUUGUGUAUGUCUAAUGUUCACGCCUUUUCUUUUUUUCUAGCAGGUCGCGACGCAGAUUGAGGAAUUCCAGGUAUGUUUUCUGUUAAGACCUUUGUGUAUGUCUAAUGUUGUCUUUUCUUUUUUUCUAGCAGGGCGCGACGCAGAUUGAGGAUUUUCAGGUAUGUUUUCUGUUAAGACCUUUGUGUAUGUCUAAUGUUGUCUUUUCUUUUUUCUAGCAGGGCGCGACGCAGAUUGAGGAUUCCAGGUAUGUUUUCUGUUAAGACCUUUGUGUAUGUCUAAUGUUGCCUUUUCUUUUUUUCUAGCAGGUCGCGACGCAGAUUGAGGAAUUCCAGGUAUGUUUUCUGUUAAGACCUUUGUGUAUGUCUAAUGUCGCCUUUUCUUUUUUUCUAGCAGGGUCGCGACGCAGAUUGAGGUAUUCCAGGUAUGUUUUCUCUUAAGACCUUUGUGUAUGUCUAAUGUCGCCUUUUCUUUUUUUCUAGCAGGUCUUGACGCAGAUUGGAAAUUCCUUUAGGUCGUGUGGCCUUUUUUUUUUUUUUAGCAGGGCGCGACGCAGAUUGAGGAUUUUCAGGUAUGUUUUCUGUUAAGGCCUUUGAGUAUGUCUAAUGUCACCUUUUCUUUUUUUUUCCAGCAGGGCGCGACGCAGAUUGAAGAUUCGAAGGUAUGUUUUCUGUUAAGGCCUUUGUGUAUGUCUAAUGUCGACUUUUCUUUUUUUCUAGCAGGGCGCGAUGCAGAUUGAGGAUUUUCAGGUAUGUUUUCUGUUAAGACCUUUGUGUAUGUCUAAUUUCGCCUUUUCUUUUUUUCUAGCAGGUGGCGACGCAGAUUGAGGAAUUCCAGGUAUGUUUUCUGUUAAGACCUUUGUGUAUGUCUUUAUUGUUGUCUUUUUCUUUUUUUCUGGCAGGGCGCGACGCAGAUUGAGAUUCGCAGGUAUGUUUUCUGUUAAGGCCUUUGUGUAUGUCUAAUGUCGCCUUUUCUUUUUUCUAGCAGGUCGCGACGCAGAUUGAGGAAUUCCAGGUAUGUUUUCUGUUUAGACCUUUGUGUAUGUCUAAUGUUGUCUUUUCUUUUUUUCUAGCAGGGUGCGACGCAGAUUGAGGUAUUCCAGGUAUGUUUUCUGUUAAGACCUUUGUGUAUGUCUAAUGGUUCCUUUUUUUUUCCUUUAGGUGGUGUGGCCUUUUUUUUUUUUGCAGGGCCCGACGCAGAUUGAGGAUUUUCAGGUAUGUUUUCUGUUAAGGCCUUUGAGUAUGUCUAAUGUCACCUUUUCUUUUUUUUCCCAGCAGAGCGCGACGCAGAUUGAAGAUUCGAAGGUAUGUUUUCUGUUAAAGCCUUUGUGUAUGUCUAAUGUCGCCUUUUCUUUUUUUCUAGCAGGGCGCGACGCAGAUUGAGGAAUUCCAGGUAUGUUUUCUGUUAAGACCUUUGUGUAUGUCUAAUUUGCCUUUUCUUUUUUUCUAGCAGGGCGCGACGCAGAUUGAGGAUUUUCCAGGUAUGUUUUCUGUUAAGACCUUUGUGUAUGUCUAAUGUUGUCUUUUCUUUUUUUCUAGCAGGGCGCGACGCAGAUUGGAGAUUCCCAGGUAUGUUUUCUGUUAAGACCUUUGUGUAUGUCAAAUGGUUCCUUUUUUUUCCUUUAGGUCAUGUGGCCUAUGGGACAUUUGCAGGUAUGUUUUCUGUUAAGGCCUUUGUGUAUGUCUAAUGUUGUCUUUUCUUUUUUUCUAGCAGGUCUUGACGCAGAUUGAGAAUUCCUUUAGUCGUGUGGCCUUUUUUUUUUUUUUUUCUAGCAGGGCGCGACGCAGAUUGAGGAUUUCCAGGUAUGUUUUCUGUUAAGGCCUUUGUGUAUGUCAAAUGUGGCCUUUUCUUUUUUCUGGCAGGGCACGAUGCAGAUUGAAGAUUCGCAGGUAUGUUUUCUGUUAAGGCCUUUGUGUAUGUCUAAUGGUUCCAUUUUUUCCUUUAGGUGGUGUGGCCUAUGUCACAUUUGACGGUAUGUUUUCUGUUAAGGCCUUCGUGUAUGUCUCAUGUUGCCUUUUCUUUUUUUCUGGCAGGGCGCGACGCAGAUUGAGGAUUUUCAGGUAUGUUAUCUGUUAAGACCUUGGUGUACGUCUAAUGUUGCCUUUUCUUUUUUUCUGGCAGGGCGCGACACAGAUUGGAGAUUCGCAGGUAUGUUUUCCGUUAAGGCCUUUGUGUAUGUCUAAUGUCGCCUUUUCCUUUUUUCUAGCAGGGCGAGACGCAGAUUGAGGAUUUUCAGGUAUGUUUUCUGGUAAGGCCUUUGUGUAUGUCUAAUGUCGCCUUUUCUUUUUUUCUAGCAGGGCGCGACGCAGAUUGAGGAUUUUCAGGUAUGUUUUCUGUUAAGACCUUUGUGUAUGUUUAAUGUUGCCUUUUCUUUUUUUCUGGCAGGGCACGACGCAGAUUGAGGAUUUUCAGGUAUGUUUUCUGUUAAGGUUUUUGUGUAUGUCUAAUGUCGCCUUUUCUUUUUCUGGCAGGGCGCGACGCAGAUUAAGGAAUUCCAGGUAUGUUUUCUGUUAAGACUUUGUGUAUGUCUAAUGUUGCCUUUUCUUUUUUUCUAGCAGGACGCGACGCAGAUUGAGAUUCGAAGGUAUGUUUUCUGUUAAGGCCUUUGUGUAUGUCUAAUGUCGCCUUUUCUUUUUUUCUAGCAGGUCGCGACGCAGAUUGAGGAAUUCCAGGUAUGUUUUCUGUUAAGACCUUUGUGUAUGUCUAAUGUCGCCUUUUCUUUUUUUCUAGCAGGGCGCGACGCAGAUUGAGGAAUUCCAGGUAUGUUUUCUGUUAAGACCUUUGUGUAUGUCUAAUGUCGCCUUUUCUUUUUUUCUAGCAGGUCUUGACGCAGAUUGAGAAAUUCCUUAGGUCAUGUGGCCUUUUUUUUUUUUAGCAGGGCGCCGACAGAUUGAGGAUUUUCAGGUAUGUUUUCUGUUAAGACCUUUGUGUAUGUCUAAUGUUGUCUUUCUUUUUUUUCUAGCAGGGCGCGACGCAGAUUGAGGAAUUCCAGGUAUGUUUUCUGUUAAGGCCUUUGAGUAUGUCUAAUGUCACCUUUUCUUUUUUUUCCAGCAGGGCGCGAUGCAGAUUGAAGAUUCGAAGGUAUGUUUUCUGUUAAGGCCUUUGUGUAUGUCUAAUGUCGCCUUUUCUUUUUUUCUAGCAGGGCGCGACGCAGAUUGAGGAUUUUCAGGUAUGUUUUCUGUUAAGACCUUUGUGUAUGUCUAAUGAUUUCUUUUUUUUUUUCCUUUAGGUCGUGUGGCCUUUUUUUUUUGCAGGGCGCGACGCAGAUUGAGGAUUUUCAGGUAUGUUUUCUGUUAAGACCUUUGUGUAUGUCUAAUUUCGCCUUUUCUUUUUUCUAGCAGGGCGUGACGCAGAUUGAGGAUUCCCAGGUAUGUUUUCUGUUAAGACCUUUGUGUAUGUCUAAUGUUGUCCUUUUCUUUUUUUCUAGCAGGUCGCGAACGACAGAUUGAGGAAUUCCAGGUAUGUUUUCUGUUAAGACCUUUGUGUAUGUCUAAUGUUGUCUUUUCUUUUUUUUCUAGCAGGGCGCGACGCAGAUUGAGGAUUUUCAGGUAUGUUUUCUGUUAAGACCUUUGUGUAUGUCUAAUGUUGUCUUUUCUUUUUUUCUAGCAGGGCGCGACGCAGAUUGGAGAUUCGCAGGUAUGUUUUCUGUUAAGACCUUUGUGUAUGUCUAAUGUUGCCUUUUCUUUUUUUUUCUGGCAGGGCGCGACGCAGAUUGAGGAUUCCAGGUAUGUUUUCUGUUAAGACCUUUGUGUAUGUCUAAUGUUGUCUUUUCUUUUUUUUCUAGCAGGGCGCGACGCAGAUUGAGGAUUCCCAGGUAUGUUUUCUGUUAAGACCUUUGUGUAUGUCUAAUGUUGUCUUUUCUUUUUUUUCUAGCAGGGCGCGACGCAGAUUGAGAUUCAGGUAUGUUUUCUGUUAAGGCCUUUGUGUAUGUCUAAUGUCGACUUUUCUUUUUUUCUAGCAGGGCGCGAUGCAGAUUGAGGAUUUUCAGGUAUGUUUUCUGUUAAGACCUUUGUGUAUGUCUAAUUUCGCCUUUUCUUUUUUUCUAGCAGGUCUUGACGCAGAUUGGAAAUUCCUUUAGGUUGUGUGGCCUUUUUUUUUUUUUUGCAGGGCGCGACGCAGAUUGAGGAUUUUCAGGUAUGUUUUCUGUUAAGACCUUUGUGUAUGUCUAAUGUUGUCUUUUCUUUUUUCUGCAGGGCUUGACGCAGAUUGGAAAUUCGCAGGUAUGUUUUCUGUUAAGACCUUUGUGUAUGUCUAAUGUCGCCUUUUCUUUUUUUUCUAGCAGGUCGCGACGCAGAUUGAGGAAUUCCAGGUAUGUUUUCUGUUAAGACCUUUGUGUAUGUCUAAUGUCGCCUUUUCUUUUUUUCUAGCAGGUCGCGACGCAGAUUGAGGUAUUCCAGGUAUGUUUUCUGUUAAGACCUAGUUGUAUUUAUUAUAAACGUUUAAAUCUUGAAUUUUGAUAAAGGAAUAUUA
rnacentral:lncRNA from 1 species